CGGCAGCAGCGGCAGCAGCAGCAGCAGCAGCGCGGCGGGGCCGGGACGGGGCGCUCUCCGGUGGCGGCUCCCCGGCCGCCGUCCCGUCGCUUCGCAUCCCUCGGUGAAGUUCAUGCCGCUACAACAUGUCCACCUUAUACGUUGUCACACACACACACCUCUCUGUGAGCCACACCUGGACACGUCCCCAUCGCUCUGGUGUUUCCAUCACACAGCGGUGGAAUAAGGUGUGGUACAAACCACAAGAAUAAAGCACACGGCCAGCAGCGUGUUUGGCCAUCAUCAAAUCAAUGGGUCCAGCUGCAAGGUGCCAAAGGGCAGGAACAGCCCAAUGAAGUGAGCCCAGGUUUUGCCUCCUGAUACCACCAAGGGCAAACGCAGCAGGAGGGAAGCUCCUGCCUCCCUCUUUCUGUGUGUGAUAGCACACAGAGAGCUCCUUUCGAGUUCAGUAUAGCUCGUGUUCUGCUUCCUGCACACAGCCCAGUUUCUCCACUCUUGCCAAUGUGUUUGGUGAAACCUUCAGAGUGAAAUAAAAUAAAAUUUCAAUUGCCGUUUCCCA